UUAGUACUCCCUCCGUCCCAAAAUUCUUGUCUUAGACUUGUUUACAUACGGAUGUAUCUAUUCACGUUUUAGUGUUAGAUACAUCAAAUCUAAGACAAGAAUUUUGGGGCGGAGGGAAUAGAAU
rfam:Triticum aestivum genome assembly, contig: Triticum_aestivum_CS42_TGACv1_scaffold_408046_5BL